UACAGAGGGUGCAAGCGUUAAUCGGAAUUACUGGGCGUAAAGCGUGCGUAGUCGGUUAUCUAAGUCGGAUGUGAAAUCCCCGGGCUCAACCUGGGAAUUGCAUUCGAUACUGGAUAGCUAGAGUUCGGCAGAGGGAAGUGGAAUUUCGGGUGUAGCGGUGAAAUGCGUAGAUAUCCGAAGGAACAUCAGUGGCGAAAGCGACUUCCUGGACCAGAACUGACGAUCAGGCCACGAAAGCGUGGGGAGCAAACAGG
rnacentral:rRNA from 1 species